UGUAUGGAGUCUAAAAGGAGGAGGCGAAUCGAACGCAAAAAUUAUGGGCCCAGUUUUUGAGAUCUAAAUGAAGUUCGAAAAUCGCCGUUAGGGGCGCUUGUGAUGAUUGGGAUACUAGAAAUACACAGCUUCUUAUGGCAAGAAUAACUAUUUUGUUAUAAAUUAUAGAGCCAAGUUAAUAUUUGGGCAUAUUUUUACCAGAGUUAGCUUUUAGAAACGUGGUUUUUCUAAUUGAGCAAUGUGCGUGGCUAAAAUUGUGAAUACAAAACCUUAAAUUUGAGUUUGAAAAUGCAUACACGACCGAAGAAACAUAUAAGCUGCUAAAAUAAAUCUUCCCUAGAACUGUUGUACAAAAAAGAUAGAAGUUCCAGCAACAAAUUUAUCACCAGUUCAACCUUUGAUUUGAUGUAAACAGUAAUUGUUUCUUGAUGAGAAAUGCGAAUGAAAUAGUUUAUGGUGUGAUUGUGUUAGUGUUUUAUUAAUAGUUUUGUUGAUGCAGUUUAAAGGUUCAUAGUUUUUCAUUAAAACAUUUGAAAUUGACAUGUUUACAUGCAGUUUAGUGUGAUACCAUUUUAAUAAACAUUAAAAUCUUUCGAACUAGUAGUGGUUUUAUGGCGAUUGACAGAUUGAAUAACGAAAAUUAAGAGUAUUUUAUCAGGAAUAACUUAAUCAUAAAUGGAAACUGAAGACGAACGUUACCAUUGCACCCUUUGAUCGGUGUUAUCUAUUCCAUAACUUUUUAUAGCUGAAACUAGAGAGUAGGUAUAUUGAGCUGAAACGUUUCCUGUGUUCAAUAGCGUUUUUUCUAGCGUUGAAUUGUAAGUUUUAAUGUCAUUAGCAAAGUUUUGCAAAUUGUCACUGUUUCGUAGACAAUUAAAUUCAAGAUAUAUUAUAUUCAAUGUCACCUAAUAAUUGUAAAGGUUUUUCUAUUGAUAUUCACUUUAUUAAUAUAAGGUAGGUUUGUAAAUAAAAUAUUAAUGAAUAAAUAAUGUACUCAGUUUAUUUCAAAAGCACAAAAAUACAGAGUUGUGAAUAUGUAUAUACGCUGACUUAUUUCAUCAUAUAAAUAUUUAUUUAGCAAUAUUAAUACAUUACAACUUUUGUUUCUAUUAACUAAUUCCACUAAAUUUAAUAAAUAAAAUAUACAAUAUAUAAAUUUAAUAUACAAUUUAGCACUUAGAUAUUAAAUAUCUAUAUGUACUAUGCCAAAAAAUAAAACAGGAACAUCAUAUUAUAUCAAGAACACAAAAAAUUACAAUUUAAAAAAAAUGCAUUCUAAAAAAAUACCUAGCUACAAUAUACCUACAUAUUAAUUUAAAGAGCUUAUUCAUAUUCAUAAAAACUAUUCUAAAUGGUUUAUAUACACAAUCAAAAGUAUCAACCACAAUACAAUAAUUUUCAAAUUAUUUCUUAUUAUUCCUCAA